GGCAGUGUGGCCGAGCGGUCUAAGGCGCUGGAUUUAGGCUCCAGUCUCUCUGGGGACAUGGGUUCGAAUCCCAUCGCUGCUA
rfam:Alligator sinensis unplaced genomic scaffold scaffold349_1, whole genome shotgun sequence